AUUGAACGCUGGCGGCAUGCCUUACACAUGCAAGUCGAACGGCAGCACGGGUGCUUGCACCUGGUGGCGAGUGGCGCACGGGUGAGUAAUACAUCGGAACAUGUCCUGUAGUGGGGGAUAGCCCGGCGAAAGCCGGAUUAAUACCGCAUACGAUCUACGGAUGACAGCGGGGGACCUUCGGGCCUCGCGCUAUAGGGUUGGCCGAUGGCUGAUUAGCUAGUUGGUGGGGUAAAGGCCUACCAAGGCGACGAUCAGUAGCUGGUCCGAGAGGACGACCAGCCACACUGGGACUGAGACACGGCCCAGACUCCUACGGGAGGCAGCAGUGGGGAAUUUUGGACAAUGGGCGAAAGCCUGAUCCAGCAAUGCCGCGUGUGUGAAGAAGGCCUUCGGGUUGUAAAGCACUUUUGUCCGGAAAGAAAUCCUUGGCCCUAAUACGGUCGGGGGAUGACGGUACCGGAAGAAUAAGCACCGGCUAACUACGUG
rnacentral:rRNA from 1 species